GCGGGCUUGGAAUCAUGAUGCUGUGGGCCCGCAUCACAGCGCGUCUAAGCGGGUGAUCACGGGGAUCUCCAUCACACCCGCCGGUAUAGCCGCGUCUGCUUAAAGUAGGCCGCAUGGGGAAGCUCGCAUUGCUCCAAGCGCUCCGAAUUUUAUAGAGUAAGACGCGCCGCACGCCGUGGAGGGGUGAUUCGUGUUGGACGAAUCAGAAGGUGCGGGACGCCG
rnacentral:ncRNA from 1 species